CGGCUUAUUCUUGGUCUUCGA
rnacentral:miRNA from 1 species